rnacentral:rRNA from 1 species
UACGAAGGGGCUAGCGUUGCUCGGAAUCACUGGGCGUAAAGCGCACGUAGGCGGAUUGUUAAGUCAGGGGUGAAAUCCUGGAGCUCAACUCCAGAACUGCCUUGAUACUGGCGAUCUCGAGUCCGGGAGAGGUGAGUGGAACUGCAAGUGUAGAGGUGAAAUUCGUAGAUAUUCGCAAGAACACCAGUGGCGAAGGCGGACUCACUGGCCCGGUACUGACGCUGAGGUGCGAAAGCGUGGGAGCAACAGG